UAGACAGUGUACCCACGGAUGAAGAAUUAUGAAGAAGAAUUAUUAGGAAGGUCUGACAUUAAGACCUGUGUAGAUUUUUGAAGGCAAGAGAGUGGACUUAUUCACGCGAGAGUCUCUCUUUGAUCAGCUCAGUUGAGUGAACAUUUAUGAAUGCCCCCUUCCAAGCCUAAAACUCUACUGCUUGAUGGAGGAAGAGGAAGGUGCAUUCCGGAAUGCUAAGAACCGGAGAAGGGCAUGAUUCCGUCCGUGGCUUUUUACUUUUUAAAACUGAAAGAACUAAUAUUUCUCUUCUUGCCCAGGAAGUGAGGGCAGGAUCAGAUAGAAAAGAUGAACACAGU